rnacentral:pre_miRNA from 1 species
AGCUUUUCGAAUCCGUGCUGAGAUUUCGUCAGACACCAACCGAUUAGGGCUUAUCAAACUUCCAAGAUAAGUGAAGUU